GCUUCUGGGCAACACCGUUUUCAGUACUUCAAACUACGUUGAUGUUAUCUUUGCAGCAUGGGAGAACUUUUCAUAUAGUUAUUUUGGAACCGUGACACUAAUACCUGCAGAAACUUUUCACAGCUUUUUGGAAUUGUUAUUCUGGCAUAAAAUUUCAUCCCAUCAUCUGAGAGUUACGAUUCAAGGUGACAAAAUAAUUUUUUUAGUGUGUUGACUAUAAAAGCAAUAGGUGGUGAUCUCACUAUAUAUGAGCGAACUUCUUUGAUGAACUACAUGAUGAAUGAAACAAUACAGGUGCUGGUAUACUAUCCAUGGCAAACUGCGGGCUAAACACAAAUGGAGCUAAGUUUUUUUAUAACACUUUGUUAUUGAGAACUUGUGUGUGAUUGUAAGAAAUAGUAAUUAGUGUAUAAUUAAAAAUUUAUUAUAGCCCCAACACAAUAGCUUCAUGGCAUGCACUCCCUAUUUAGAAAGAUCUACU